rnacentral:rRNA from 1 species
CAGAAACUACAAAGGAAUUGACGGGGCCCGCACAAGCGGUGGAGUAUGUGGUUUAAUUCGAUGCAACGCGAAGAACCUUACCUGGUCUUGACAUCCCGGAGACCCUUAGGAAACUAGGGGUGCUUCCAUCUGGAAGAAUCUGGAGACAGGUGCUGCAUGGCUGUCGUCAGCUCGUGUCGUGAGAUGUUGGGUUAAGUCCCGCAACGAGCGCAACCCUUGCCUUUAGUUGCCAGCAGUUCGGCUGGGCACUCUAAAGGGACUGCCGGUGUUAAACCGGAGGAAGGUGGGGAUGACGUCAAGUCCUCAUGGCCUUUAUGACCAGGGCUACACACGUACUACAAUGGCCGAUACAAAGGGCAGCGACACUGCGAGGUGAAGCCAAUCCCGUAAAAUCGGUCUCAGUCCGGAUUGGAGUCUGCAACUCGCCUCCAUGAAGUCGGAAUCGCUAGUAACCGCAGAUCAGCUACGUUGCGGUGAAUACGUUCCCGGGCCUU